CGAUUAGGGUUCGAUUCUGGCUCAGAACGAACGCUGGCGGCGUGCUUAAUACAUGCAAGUCGAACGUGAAUCCCGACUUCGGUUGGGAUGAAAGUGGCGAACGGGUGAGUAACACGUAAGUAAUCUGCCUUCAAGUUUGGGAUAACCCUGCCAACGCGGGGCUAAUACCGGAUGUGGUCCAGCUGACACAUGUUGGCUGGAUUAAAGGUCGCGAGGCCGCUUGGAGAUGAGCUUGCGGCCCAUUAGUUAGUUGGUGAGGUAACGGCCCACCAAGACGAAGAUGGGUAGCCGGCCUGAGAGGGUGUACGGCCACAUUGGGACUGAGAUACGGCCCAGACUCAUACGGGAGGCAGCAGUAGGGAAUUUUGCGCAAUGGACGGAAGUCUGACGCAGCAACGCCGCGUGAAGGAUGGCGGCCUUCGGGUUGUAAACUUCUGUUGGAUGGGAAAAAAAGCCUAGGAAUAGGAAUUGAUGGUACCAUUCGAGUAAGCACCGGCUAACUACGUGCCAGCAGCCGCGGUAAUACGUAGGUGGCAAGCGUUGUCCGGAAUUACUGGGUGUAAAGGGUGCGCAGGCGGGACUGCAAGUUGGAUGUGAAAUUUCGAGGCUUAACCUCGAACCUGCAUCCAAAACUGUAGUUCUUGAGUGAAGUAGAGGUAGGCGGAAUUCCGAGUGUAGCGGUGAAAUGCGUAGAUAUUCGGAGGAACACCAGUGGCGAAGGCGGCCUACUGGGCUUAACUGACGCUGAGGC
rnacentral:rRNA from 1 species